CACCAAAGAGACUUUACAUUAUCUAUACUAUUACUCCUCAAGUCUCUCCAAUCCCAUAUUUAAACACUAGUAUUUCCUUCCCUGGUCCAUCAUUUUCCUCUUCAAAUCUCCAAAUCCACUGCCCUUGUGUUUUUUAAGUGUUACAAAUAAGUGAAACUUUAUAAAGAAUGGAUGGCAAGACAGGUGAGAAUCCAAAAUUCAUACACAUCUUUUUCUCUCUUUCUAUUAUAACGCAAAUUUCAGAAACAUUUCAUAAAUUAAAUAUAUGUUUUUUUAGCUUAAUUUGUUUUUGUAUGAAUGAGUAGUGAGACUAAAUGUCUUUCACGGUAAUGAUCAAGAGAAGAAGAACUAGAUUAUGUGUGGUUUGCCUAUUCAUCAUGCCCUAAUCAUGGAGUGAUUAAGGUAACAACUUCCUUUUAGUUUUAUGUUAUGGCAAAAAUAGCUAAACAAAUUAUAUUACAUUCUUCAUCUACAAAGCAUAAUAUUUAACUUAUUUUUGGUUGAUAAAAAAAAUUGAACUUAUUUCUUAGGAAUAGUACAUUUGAGAACUCAACGGAAAGAUUUGAUGACCCAACCAAGUGAAAGAUUCUAUUAAACAAGGUUCCUUUAGUAAAAAGAUUUUUAAUUUUGUUUUACCC
rnacentral:lncRNA from 1 species